rnacentral:rRNA from 1 species
GUGAGUAACGCGUGAGAAUCUGGCUUCAGGUCUGGGACAACCACUGGAAACGGUGGCUAAUACCGGAUGUGCCUCGGGGUGAAAGGUUAACUGCCUGAAGAUGAGCUCGCGUCUGAUUAGCUAGUAGGUGUGGUAAAGGCGCACCUAGGCGACGAUCAGUAGCUGGUCUGAGAGGACGAUCAGCCACACUGGGACUGAGACACGGCCCAGACUCCUACGGGAGGCAGCAGUGGGGAAUUUUCCGCAAUGGGCGAAAGCCUGACGGAGCAAUACCGCGUGAGGGAGGAAGGCUCUUGGGUCGUAAACCUCUUUUCUCAGGGAAGAACACAAUGACGGUACCUGAGGAAUAAGCAUCGGCUAACUCCGUGCCAGCAGCCGCGGUAAUACGGAGGAUGCAAGCGUUAUCCGGAAUGAUUGGGCGUAAAGCGUCCGCAGGUGGCGAUGUAAGUCUGCUGUUAAAGAGUCUAGCUCAACUAGAUAAGAGCAGUGGAAACUACAUAGCUAGAGUACGUUCGGGGCAGAGGGAAUUCCUGGUGUAGCGGUGAAAUGCGUAGAGAUCAGGAAGAACACCAGUGGCGAAGGCGCUCUGCUAGGCCGUAACUGACACUGAGGGACGAAAGCUAGGGGAGCGAAUGGGAUUAGAUACCCCAGUAGUCCUAGCCGUAAACGAUGGAUACUAGGCGUGGCUUGUAUCGACCCGAGCCGUGCCGUAGCUAACGCGUUAAGUAUCCCGCCUGGGGAGUACGCCGGCAACGGUGAAACUCAAAGGAAUUGACGGGGGCCCGCACAAGCGGUGGAGUAUGUGGUUUAAUUCGAUGCAACGCGAAGAA